UGGUUCCAGCCCACUCUCAAAUCAAGGGAGAAGAUGCAGGCUACAAAUCUGAGAACAAAGAUUUAAACUGGCCUAGACUUUAGAAUCUGAAAGUGAGGGGUUUGAUCAGGGUUUUUGUUUGUUUUCAAAGGAACACAAAAGAAGGAGGUACCAGACUAUGAUCAAAGAAUAGACCAAACUCAAGCAUCAGAAUAUGAACUCCACAGGAAGUUGUUAUCUUCAUUGAUUGUGUUGCUGUUACAUUUCAAGAGCUAGCAAACGUUCUCACAACAAAAAAACCUUCACUGUGUUCAUCGGGGAGUAAAGAUGCUGCAUAUCUCAAAACUGCAACUGAACUGGCUUUUAAUAUUGAAAUGGAUUUAUUGGCUCAAGUGACUGAAGAACCCAAGGUUAUUUGACUUCAGCUGACUUGAUCCAGGGCUUAACUGAUGUCACAAGGAACUCGUUUCUCUCUCUCCCUCUCUUCCACUUACUCCAUUUGAGUAUUCUUUUUAGGUCUCAAGCAGUCACAAAAUGAGCUGUGUAGCUCUUGUUGCUAUUGUUCUUUUAGGUUGAAAUUUAAUGAACAGAGAGUGAAGUUCUCCUUUCUAGAACCUCCAGAAAAAGUCUCAUUUAAUUUCAUUGGUUAAAGAAGCACAUAAGUAAUCUGCCUACCCCUAUCAAAUCAGUAUAUGAAAUGCUUUGAUCGUUUAUGCCCGAGUAACCAAGGAUAAGGUCAACUCCCUUGGGAACACAUGAGAUAAGAAUGGGGAUAGACUUGACCCUAGAAGAGAAACCUACUAAAGAACAAAAAAGAGAAGACUGAAUGGUAUUUGACACAAACAGAAGUUAUUUGUAGCUUCCAUAUUUUUAUUGUUUCUCUCAUACAUACAAAUGUACAUGCACACACAUUCUUAUGUACGUAUCUGUAGAAACACACACACACACACACGUCCCAUAAAUAUGCCAAAACUGUUCACAUCUCUAAAAAGCAUUUGCUGACUCCUUAACCAAGACAAAAGUCUUACUCCAUUCCUGUGUACAACUCCAAAUGCCAGAGAUUUCAACAUCAUGCCACGUAGUGUCUGCAGGCAUCCCAUCCCAUCCAACAUACAUGGUAGAAAGAUAAUAAUUAAAUAUGAUAAAAUCAACUCCAUAUGAAAUAGGGGAGCAUAGGAAAUGACACAGUAGUCAUCAGGGCACAGCACAUAUUUUGUCAUGCUGGACAGAUAGUAAAUGAUUUAGGCUUUUCUGGCCACAUAAAGUCUCUAUUGCUUAUUCUCCUUAGUUUUACUUUACAUUUGAAAAAUAUAAAUGCCACCAUAAGCUGUGGGCAGUACACCUACAGACUUAUGUGGAUACAAUUAUUAGGCUCAUCUCUUUAUCCCAAGGUUGCAAAAGUUUCAUUGUAUUUAAGUACCUCUGAUUGGGUCCUCUUUCUAUCCCUAUUCAAAUCACUUUGGCCAUAGGAAUGGGAUGUUCUUCCUUAUUAGGUCUAAGUAACUUUCCUGGAAAAAGGGAAAGAACAUCGUCCUUACCACAUAUGGACUGAAGGUGGAAAGGGAAAGUUAUGCCUAAAUGGAAAAAUGGAGUAUUGUUAUCAGAAUAACAAUAAGAAUAAUAACAAACAUUUAUAUAUUGCUUGUUAUGGGUCAGGCACUUGUAAAAGCUCUUCAUAAGCUUUGACAUAUUUAAUUCUCACACUAAAUUUAAGAAAUAUUACUAUUACUUUAAUCAUUUUACAGCUGAGAAAACUGAAGGUAAAGAGGUUAAGUAAAUGGCCUAAGGCCUCACAGCUGGAUAAUGCCAGAGUUAUAAUGAACCCAGGGUGGCUGGUCGUAAAGUCUAUCCUUUUAUCUAGGGUACUUGCCCAUCCAGAAAUCCAGAAAUCACAAUAUACCUAAAAGGACUUUAAAACACAAGACUUGAUGAAAUUACAAAAUGAUAUAUUGAGGAUGAUUAACCCUAUAUUUUAUUUUAAAAGGGAUACAAUCCACAUUAAUAUCAAAUUUAAUAAGAAUAGGCCCAGUUCCAAUAUAAGUCUGUAGUUACCACAUUAACACAAUAUAACAAAAGGAAUAUUUCUAUAUGAUCGCAAUUUGUUUAUUCAUUAUUAAGUUGUUGACAGAAUUUGGAUUGUUUCCAAACACCAUCUGUGUUUCUGAUCUCUUGGAUAAACACCUAAGAGUAGAAAGGCUGGAUCAUAUAGUAGAUGGAUAUUUAACUUUUUAAGGAAACUGCCAAACUGUUUUUCAAGGUGGUUGUACCACUUUUACAUUCUUACUAGUAUUGAAUGAGAGUUCCAGUUCUUUCACAUCCUCAUCCAAAGUUAGUAUGGUCAGUCUUUCUUAUUUUAUUCCUAAUGGUAUAUCAUUAUGGUUUUAAUUUAAUUUACUUAAUGAAAUGAUUAAUUAUA